UACGUAGGGUGCGAGCGUUAAUCGGAAUUACUGGGCGUAAAGCGUGCGCAGGCGGUGAUGUAAGACCGAUGUGAAAUCCCCGGGCCUUAACCUGGGAAUGGACAUUUGGGGACUGCAAGGCUGGAGUGUGGGCAGAGGAGACUGGAAUUCCCGGUGUACGCAGUGAAAUGACGCAGAUACUAGGAGGAACACCGGUGGCGAAGGCGGGUCUCUGGGCAACAACUGACGCUGAGGAGCGAAAGCGUGGGGAGCGAACAGG
rnacentral:rRNA from 1 species